rnacentral:rRNA from 1 species
AGCGAACGCUGGCGGCAGGCCUAACACAUGCAAGUCGAGCGGACGUAGCAAUACGUCAGCGGCAGACGGGAGAGUAACACGUGGGAACGCGCCCUUCGGUUCGGGAUAACUCAGGGAAACUUGGGCUAAUACCGGAUACGCCCUUACGGGGAAAGAUUUAUUGCCGAAGGAACGGCCCGCGUCCGAUUAGCUUGUUGGUGAGGUAACGGCUCACCAAGGCGACGAUCGGUAGCUGGUCUGAGAGGAUGACCAGCCUCACUGGGACUGAGACACGGCCCAGACUCCUACGGGAGGCAGCAGUGGGGAAUAUUGGACAAUGGGCGCAAGCCUGAUCCAGCCAUGCCGCGUGGGUGAUGAAGGCCCUAGGGUUGUAAAGCCCUUUCGGCGGGGAAGAUAAUGACGGUACCCGCAGAAGAAGCCCCGGCUAACUUCGUGCCAGCAGCCGCAGUAAGAC